GCUCCUUUUGGUCAAUACCUGUACAGUGAGAAAUUACUACUAAAAAUGGCUCUGUGGUAGUUUAGUAGGUUUGUGGCAGGUUCACCUUGGCUGGCUGCUGGGUGCCCACCCAGCUGCUCUGUUGCUCUCACUCCUCAACAGCACAGGUGGCAAAAAUGCGAGGAAAAAACUCAUGGGCUGACAUAAAGACAUGCGUACCAAUUACUGUCAGGGGUGAAAUAGGCUCAACUUGGGGAAAAUUAAUUUAUUGCUAAUUAAAAUAGAUUUUGAUAGUGAGGAAAAAAGACAAGAAAAAACAACACCAGCCACCCUCAGCUCCUCUCCCCCCAUGCUUAUCCUGAGGCCCAACUUCGUGCCCUCACAGCUGGGCGAUUUUGGCUUUUUCUUGCAUCCAUUUUCCCUGAGGCCUGGAACCGCUAGAACCUUCUGGAACCAGCCAGAACCUUCUGGAACCGUCCGGAACUGGCCGGAUCCAGCCCUGUCAGGGCGGGCAGCCCUGCCCUCUCCUCACCGACACCCCAUGGCCCCCGCUGCAAAGUUGAUGCCACAGACCCCCUGGUGCAUAGCUGAAAGUCACUUGACAAGAUUAAUUAUUUUGGGUGUUUUAGUGGUGUUUGUGAGGCCCUCUCAUGCAGAUUAAUCUCAUGGUGCCAGGUGCCAUGCAGGUGAGCCUCAUUUCAACACCUCACUGUGAGUGCGAGGAGUUGGCAGGGCUUGGCACACCUGGUGAUUUCUUCAGGACUUACCUGCAGCCUGAGCUGUUGCUGCCUCAGGAUUUAUAGCAGUGAAGCGUCUCCUAUCUAUUCUUAGAAAUGAAGUUAAAUACUAUGCAGAUUAUUUGACAUAUUGGAAUAUGGGGAUUUUGACAUUGACUUCUGUGAGAGUGGGGGAAGAGAAGAAGCUGGACAAAACUCAACCAGAAGGAUGCAUCUGUUCAGGUUUUUGUGACUGGUGUCUUGAAACCUCCUGAACCAGAUAUUAAGGAAAGGUCAGCAGUGACAGAGAUCAUGCAGGGGUGCACAAUCCCAAGGCUUACCAUCAAAAAAGUUGACUAGUAUGAGGCUGGGAUCCUAAAAAAACAUCAAAUUGGCAUAUUGUAAGGGCACAGACUCUAUAUACUUUGAUUCCAGCAUUUUCAGCUAUUCUCCAUCUCUAGAUGUGCUGCUUGAAUCCAUAUAGCUUCAUAGAAAACCCCGGAGAAAACAAGAUGUGUACUUCCAAUCUAGGUAGUAAAUUUCUAUAUAAAUAUGUUAAAUAUUUUAAAUCACACACAUAUAUAUAUGCAUGCAAUAUAGUAUCAGUUUGUGUAUGUUUUUUCAAAAUUCUACUUGUAUCACUGUGGUUUCUCACUCUGAUAACUGUCAGUAUUGGUCAAAAAUUUUACUUCAUGAAAUUUUGUUUUCAACAACAGGAUUUCAUCAAGAAACAAAAGACAAAUAUGUAACUAUAAAAUACCUUUGUAUAAACUAUGAUACCUUCUUUUUUUUUGCCAAAUGAGGUGUUCUCUUACUGUUGCUGUAAAUCUGUUGGGACAUUUUUAGGAGUAGGGUAGAAAUAGUAUACAUCCAGGAAACAACUACAAAGGUGAAACAAAUUUGCUAAUAAAUAAAUAAAAUUAAGGUGUUAACCACAAUUAGGGUGUUAAUCAUGAUAGUAUUUGGCUCCUUUACCACCAGCUGUAUUCCUGGAAAUAGUUUAUUGGGAAGUUGUAUUAUGCUAAGAGGUGUUUAUUGUCAUUUUCACUAGGCAUACAAAACCUGGUAGUGCUGUACUGGUAUGGAUAUACUUAAUCUGGUUAGCAUUGGGAAUUAAGGAAAGAGGAGACGUUUUCAAGCCCUGGAGAUGUCCUCACAGUUUAAUUUCUUCUCCCUAAGUAAGUAAAUACUAAAUAAGUAUCCACAUGCUCUUCCAAACCUCCUUAAUUUUGGUAUAUUGUAUAUUCCAGAACACCAGCAGCAGCUUGUUGGGGCACCCCAUUAGACUUCUACCUGCUGUCACCUCUGUAAAGCCUGACAUUUUCCUCAUCUGCUAAGCGUGGAUGGCAGUGGAGAUGAUGGGGGUGGUGCACACGCUGGCACCAAAACUUCCAUUAGAGGCAGCAUUAUCUCACAGCCUGCUGGGAUCCCCACUAGGUAAAAGCAUUAGAGCUGCCUCUUGGGUUAGGGAAAGAGACACAAUUAGUACUCACAGGAUUCAGAAGGUUUGCCAAAGUAAAGUUAGGGCUGCUAGGUGAAUUAACUUCUGGCCAGUCCUUAUCCUGGGGCUGCUAAUGUCCUAUGGCAUCACGUUCACUUUUGCAGAAGGGGCAGCUUCUGUGAUGGGAACAGUGGAUUCCAUUCCCACUAGAUAACCUUUAUAACCCUCUGACCCUUUCUGAGUCUUAUUUUCCUCCUGAAUGAAGCACAGAUGGUGCAUGUUCAGAGCAAGCCAAGCACAACAUACCAGAAAGGGAAAUAGAUUGCACCUGUACAGUAGCCCUUGGAAGGGGAGGUUCUCAUCAGUUUAAAAGCAGCUGAGCCACCAAUGCAGGAUGCUACUGCUUUUUUGAAUGACCAACUAUCCCAACACAAAAAACAACGUUUUAUUUAAUUAGCAUUAAAGAUGUCACAAACCCUACAUGUCUAUUUCUAAUUUGAACUGGUGUCAGCCAAUGCAGUACAGACUGAGAUUGAUCUCAACAACUGUGCAUCUUUAGGUCUGCUUCUGUUUGCAGAGAUAAAAUACCCAUGGAGGGGAAGGAAGUGAAAAAGAAAUGUGAGCUAGUCAUCACAAAAAAAGCAACUUAGACUGUUACAGUAAUGCAGACAACACAGUGUAUCACCAUCUUAAAUUUGCAUUUGUAGGUUUGUGUUUUUUUUUUUCCCCCUUUUUUUUUUUUUCUCCCAGCCUUGAAUUAGAAUUCCUGUAAUUUAAAAUUCCUGUAAUUGGUCUGAUGUCAUUUUAAAUCUCUGAAGUCACAGAUUCUUUAUGUAUGUCAUUUAUUACAGGUACCUUUUCAGGGAUGUUUUUUUGGAUGCGCUUGUUUAUUGCUACUGUAAAAAAGAGCCACCUUUUUGUGUGUGUGUCUUGAUAGCACAACCUUGCAACUGGGGUAAGGAUAAACAUCAUUACAACUUGACGAGUCAGACACUGCAGUUGCCCUUUCAGAGAUUUCAGCAUAAACACUUUUUUUUUAUAUGAAAGUAGAGUAUUUUUUGGUUUUAAGGGAGAUCUGUGUAUGUGUAUGCAUGCCUAUAUAGAUGUAUGUGUUUUGGCUUGGUUUUUAAGCAACUAGAUUACGUCCAAAAAAAUUCAUGGAGAGGAGGCAAUAUUGUUAAAAUUAGUUCCAAACGUUUCAUAUUUGUAUGUUAUUCUACUAGUAAGCUUUUGCUAAUAAAGCCAUUGUUGGCAAAUUCUACACCAAUAUUCUAAGGUCCAUUUCAUGAAGAAAUAGCUUAUUCUUACUAACAUUUUGGGACAAGGAUUUUUCUGUUCAUCUGAAUGAAAAAUGCUGCAUAACCCACCCCACCGAGCAAUCUAAGGUAUGUACAGUGAUACAUUCUAGUUUUCUGAAUAUUUUGUUGCAAACCAAAUUCUAGUGAUAACACACAUUCUUUUAUUACUAUGCUUAGGUCUAAAAAGGUAGGUUUAUUUACAGUAGAGAAAAUACUUCAUGUUUGCUUCUUUUGUGAUGUACUAGCAUGACCUGAAAAGAUUUGCUUCCAGUAACAAAAAGAUAAAAAAAAAAAACAGAUGGACAAACACACCUAUAUAGACACAAAUGUAUAAAAGAAUUAAAAGCUGUCAGUCAGAUUCUAAAUUGCUGUUUUCAAGUUGCCCUAAUGUUUGCUGUGAUAACAACAAUAAUAAUAACUAGGAACAACAGAGACUUUAAAAAUAAUUUAAGUCCAGUUUUAAAACUGAAAUUGACAUUUAAUUAUCUACUUUUAAUUUUAGAUCUCCUGUUUUUUUUCUGAACAGAAAGAUUUGCUAACAAAUGUGCUGAUAGCAAGCAUCGUGAAGGGCCUGCUUCAUGUCACUAACAAAAAAAUUAACACUAGGAAAUGAUGUAGGGUACUAGGAUGCUAGGAAAUGAUCUAACAUAAAUCUUUCUGUUCUGGUUAGAUGGUACAUAAACUGAAAUUUUAGCUCAUUUUAUAUGAUCUUUAUUCCUGCAGAUACAUUUUAUGUAUCUGGGCUCAAUUCUGUAAAUAUUCUUUUAAUUCAUGUAAGAGACUAGUACAAAAAGCAAAUAGGACUGCACAUAUAACAAAACUUUUGUAUUGCCAGUCUUAACAACAACAAAAAGAGCAUAAAGAUCUCAAAUUUUAAAAUAUAUUUAGGGUUCAUUUCAUUUACUUUCCAGUUAUUAAACUACGAUGACCAGUUGAGGUCAAUCUUUCCUUACAGCUAUCAGAUGCAGAAACUGUAAUUAAAACAAAACAACACAAACAAACAAAAAAAAACCCCACUGAUGAUAAAUUUAAA